AUUGAACGCUGGCGGCAUGCCUUACACAUGCAAGUCGAACGGCAGCGGACCUUCGGGUGCCGGCGAGUGGCGAACGGGUGAGUAAUAUAUCGGAACGUACCUUUCAGUGGGGGAUAACGUAGCGAAAGUUACGCUAAUACCGCAUAUUCUGUGAGCAGGAAAGCAGGGGAUCGCAAGACCUUGCGCUGAUUGAGCGGCCGAUAUCAGAUUAGCUAGUUGGUGAGGUAAAGGCUCACCAAGGCGACGACCUGUAGCGGGUCUGAGAGGAUGAUCCGCCACACUGGAACUGAGACACGGUCCAGACUCCUACGGGAGGCAGCAGUGGGGAAUUUUGGACAAUGGGCGCAAGCCUGAUCCAGCCAUGCCGCGUGAGUGAAGAAGGCCUUCGGGUUGUAAAGCUCUUUCGGCCGGGAAGAAAUCGCACGGGUUAAUACCCUGUGUGGAUGACGGUACCGGAAUAAGAAGCACCGGCUAACUACGUG
rnacentral:rRNA from 1 species